rnacentral:misc_RNA from 1 species
UCAAACUUGGUCAUUUAGAGGAAGUAAAAGUCGUAACAAGGUCUCCGUUGGUGAACCAGCGGAGGGAUCAUUACAGGGUCUGACGACUGCCCAAACCAAACCGUGAACUAUUUUACAUUCCAAAAUGCUUUGGCAGGCCGCUCGCUGGGGGAGCCUUGGACCGCCGCAAGGUGGUUGGGCUGCCGAAGGCAUGUAAAAUCAAAAUCACUGAAUAACUUUCUGAGAAAAUCUUACCUCCCUCGGGAGAAAAAAAAUAUCACAACUCAUAACAAUGGAUCUCUUGGCUCUGGCAUCGAUGAAGAACGCAGC